GGGUCUGUAGGCUCAGGUGGUUAGAGCGCCACCCUGAUAAGGGUGCAGGUCGGUAGUUCGAGUCUAGCCCAGACCCACCA
rnacentral:tRNA from 1 species